rnacentral:rRNA from 1 species
AUGCGAGCAAGACCAGUGCCAUGCGCGCGUGGCCCACACCGACAAAUACCACAGAAUUGCGCGGGUUUCUGGGCCUCACCGCUAUUACCGCAAAUUCGUGCCGCGUUAUGGGAUUAUCGCCAAGCCCCUCACUCAGCUCUCACCAAGAAAGGCUUCGCCUGGUCGGCACAAGCACAAGCAGCGUUCGAUCUGCUCAAGGAUGCCAUGGCAAGCACGCCUGUCCUGGCGUUGCCUGAUUUCUCACGCCCGUUCUCUAUCGAGACGGACGCGUGUGACACAGGGGUGGGCGCAGUCCUGGUGCAAGACGGCCACCCAAUCGCCUACCUCAGCAAGGCUCCGGGCAUACGCAAUCAGCGUCUGUCGAUCUACGAGAAGGAGUUCCUCGCGGUGAUCAUGGCCGUGGACAAGUGGCACACUUACCUCCAGCGCGCCCCGUUCGUCAUUGUCACGGAUCAUAAAAGCCUCUGCCAUCUCGGCGAUCAACAAUUGGAAACAGAGUUGCAGCGCAAGGCCAUGUCUAAGAUGGUGGGUCUCCAAUUUUCUUUCAAGUACCGCCGCGGCACGGACAGUGGCGCAGCUGAUGCACUAUCCCGCGUCGGUCACCUGCUCUCUCUGGAUGCCCUCUCCAUCUGUCAGCCCCAAUGGCUCCAGGAAGUAAGCAACUCCUAUGAAACUGACAUGGACAGUCAAGAUUUGCUGCAACAACUCGCUCUGUGCAGCCUGAAUGAUCAAGGUUACGAAUUACGCCAAGGCACCAUUCGCUUCCAGAACAGGAUCUGGAUUGGCGCCAACACAGCCCUACAGACCAAAUUGAUCAACGCAUUCCAUGCAAGUGCAGUUGGGGGACAUUCGGGAGUGACAACAACUUAUCAACGUGUCAAGAAACUGUUCGCUUGGCGGGGUCUAAAACAAGCAGUGGAAGACUAUGUUCGUCAGUGUUCUAUCUGUCAGCAGGCCAAGCAUGAACAUCUGAAAACACCUGGACUACUACAACCACUCCCAAUUCCAUCAGAACCGUGGCGGGACCUCACUAUGGAUUUCGUCAAAGGAUUGCCAGUGUCCGAGGGCUACGAGGUGAUUAUGGUGGUGGUCGACCGCUUCACCAAAUAUGCCUACUUUGUUCCUCUUCGCCAUCCAUUCACAGCAACAACAGUGGCUCGAGCAUUUUGGGAUAACAUUAUCAAGUUGCAUGGAGUACCCCACUCGAUCGUAUCAGAUCGCGACCCGGUUUUCACCAGUGCAAUGUGGCGUGCUCUUCUGGAGGCAGCAGGAACAAAACUCAGCUAUUCCAGAGCAUAUCACCCGCAGACGGAUGGUCAGAGUGAACGAGUCAACCAAUGUCUUGAGAUGUAUCUUCGGUGCGCCGUACACGACCAGCCAAAGAAAUGGCGACAAUGGUUACCUACUGCAGAGUUCUGGUACAAUACCACCCAUCACUCCUCGCUGAACACUUCACCCUUCCAAGCGCUAUAUGGCCAGGAGCCCAACUUGGGAGGACUGCCCACACUGGCCUGCACGAUACCACAGGAUACUGAUGCAGAUUUGGAUUGGGCUACACAUAAUGAACAACUCCGUCUUCAGCUGGCCCGGGCUCAAAACAGAUACAAGCAAAAGGCUGAUCGCCACAGGACAGAUCGCUCUUUCCAAGUGGGUGAACAAGUUCUUCUGAAGCUGCAACCUUAUGCUCAAUCUACUGUGGCCAACCGUCCCUGCCCCAAAUUAGCAUUCAAGUUCUUCGGACCAUUCACCGUCGAGCAACGGAUCGGUUCUAUGGCUUACAAACUGCAGUUACCAUCAAACAGCCACAUUCAUCCGGUCUUCCAUGUAUCACGGUUGAAGCCAUUCACACCUGACUACUCUCCGGUCUUCUCCGAAUUGCCUCGUCCGCCCGACCUGACUGCUGCACCACUACAACCCGAGUUGAUACUGGAUCACCGCAUAGUCAAGAAAGGUAACACCUCAGUCGUGCAGGUCUCUAUUCAGUGGUCCUCGCUCUCUCCAGAUUUGGCAACAUGGGAAGACUACACCGUCCUACAUCAUCGCUACCCCAAUGCUCCAUGCUGGGCUCAAGACGCUCUCGCUCAAGGGGGGGAAAUUGUCACACCUGCUACGAUGUAG